rnacentral:rRNA from 1 species
AGAAUCAACGCUGGCGGCGUGCCUAACACAUGCAAGUCGAACGAGAAAGUGGAGCAAUCCAUGAGUAAAGUGGCGACCGGGUGAGUAACACGUGACUAACCUACCUUCAAGUGGGGGAUAACCUCGGGAAACCGGGGCUAAUACCGCAUAACAUCUUUGGAGUGGAAAUUCUGGAGAUCAAAGGAGCAAUUCGCUGGAAGAGGGGGUCGCGGCUGAUUAGCUAGUUGGCGGGGUAAUGGCCCACCAAGGCUUUGAUCGGUAGCCGGCCUGAGAGGGCGCACGGCCACACUGGAACUGAAACACGGUCCAGACUCCUACGGGAGGCAGCAGUGGGGAAUUUUGCGCAAUGGGGGAAACCCUGACGCAGCAACGCCGCGUGGAGGAUGAAGUCCCUUGGGACGUAAACUCCUUUCGACCGGGAAGAUUAUGACGGUACCGGUGGAAGAAGCCCGGCUAACUUCGUGCCAGCAGCCGC